AAAUCUCUUUCCAUCUUUGGGUGGGAGACUUGUCGGUUGUGCCCUCGGGUACUCUGAUCAAAAGUAGUAGGUCUUGAUCAGGCUGGUGGCCUGGGACACUGUGUGAUAGAGACGUCGCGAAAGCUACUGUCUUCUCAUGGUGCGUCCUAGGCUAUUCAAGCUGGCUUGGUCGGGCCUCCACAGUCGGUGCACUUGUGCAUUGACAACCCCUC
rnacentral:misc_RNA from 1 species